UUAAACUAUUAAAAAAAAGUUAAUUAAUUCAAUAAAAAUAAAAUAGAAAUAUUAAUAAUUUAUAUAAAAAAAUUAAUUUUUAAUGGUGAAAUAUAGAAAAUUAUAAAUUUAUAUAAUUAAAUAUAAUAUAAUUUUAAAGUUUAUAAAAUAAACUAGGAUUAGAUACCCUAUUAUAAUAAAAAAAAAAUUAGUAUUAAAGUAUUAAAUGUUAAAUCAUUAAAUUUAUAAGAUUUGGCGGUAUUUUAUACAAAUUAGGGGAACUUGUUUAGUAAUUGAUGAACCACGAUAAGAUUUACUUAAUUUAAUAUUUAUGUAUUGCUGUUUAAAAAUGUAUUUUAAGAAUAUAAGUUAUAAUUUAAAAAAUAUAAAAUAAUUCAAGUCAAAAUAUAGUUUAGUUAAGAUAAAAUGAGUUACAAAAAAAUAAAUUUAUAUGAAUUUUUAAAUUUAAUUAUAAAAUGAAGGUGGAUUUAAAAGUA
rnacentral:rRNA from 1 species